rnacentral:rRNA from 1 species
GACGAACGCUGGCGGCGUGCUUAACACAUGCAAGUCGAACGGAAAGGCCCUGCUUGCAGGGUGCUCGAGUGGCGAACGGGUGAGUAACACGUGGGUGAUCUGCCCCUUACUUUGGGAUAAGCCUGGGAAACUGGGUCUAAUACUGGAUAGGACCAUGCUGUAGGUGGUGUGGUGGAAAGAUUAGUUUCGGUAAGGGAUGAGCUCGCGGCCUAUCAGCUUGUUGGUGGGGUAAUGGCCUACCAAGGCGUCGACGGGUAGCCGGCCUGAGGGGGUGGACGGCAGAGUGGGGACUGGGGGGCGGCCGAGCCUCCGACGGGGGGAGGAGGGGGGGAAGAUGGAACAGGGGGGGAAGGCCGGAGGCAGCGGCGCGGGGGGGGGGGGGACGGCUUUGGGGUUGUAAGCUCCUUCAAGCCAUGACGAAGCCCUUGGGGGGAGGGGAGGGGAAAAAGAAGCACCGGCUAACUACGUG